rnacentral:rRNA from 1 species
UACGUAGGUGGCAAGCGUUGUCCGGAAUUAUUGGGCGUAAAGCGCGCGCAGGUGGUUCUUUAAGUCUGAUGUGAAAGCCCCCGGCUCAACCGGGGAGGGUCAUUGGAAACUGGGGAACUUGAGUGCAGAAGAGGAUAGUGGAAUUCCAAGUGUAGCGGUGAAAUGCGUAGAGAUUUGGAGGAACACCAGUGGCGAAGGCGGUUCUCUGGGACGGUACUGACGCUGAGACGCGAAAGCGUGGGGAGCGAACAGG